CAAGCGUACAAAAGUUAAGAAUUGUAAAAGGAAUGUGUAAACGUUAUAUUGAUUACUUUAUUUUGUGGUGCCUAAUUGAAGGGGAAAAGUGUUAAUCUGUGAUCUACUAAAUGCUCUUUAAUCUAUGAGCCUGAGAUCGAUUGCUCUGGUCUCCACCCAAGUUCGCGGGGAAAUCGCGGUCUUUUCCUCAUUACAGUAAAAGUUCUCAUUGAGGAAAUAAUACCGUAUCACUCUCGUGAUUAUUUCUCCCCUUUUUCAGGGGCGUAACAUUUUUGGAGGCUCCGCUGAGAUUGCUGCUCAGACGUCCAGUUUCCACAUCCUGGUUGCUGAAUUCCGAGCCAGCUAAAUCUCCACAUAACAACUCAGGCAGGCUGCAGUGAGGAAAGUGUUGCUGUUCGAGGGGAGCUGGAAGUUGGUGGUUAAGUACGUGUCAGCUGAGGCCAUUGAUCGACCAUCAGAGACAGUAAGGACCAUCUAAUUCAGAGUCAACUCCUGCACAGUAAAAGUUCCUCCUGUUCUGUCAACAUGACGACCGCCUUGGAAGAACUACAGGAAGAGGUAGUAGGAGAAUUGCACACCCUGACUAAAGACAAGUUACUAGAGAUAUGUGAUUUCCUUGACAUCUCAGGCGAACAGAGAAGAGAUGUUCAAGACAAAUCCCGCAUAUCAGUGAUGACUCACAUUAUGAUGUUCCUUGAAAGAGAGGAAGUUGCAGAGUUAGAAGAUGGCGGCAUGUCGGAAUUGUUGCUACUUAAAGACAAAAUGACAGAGAUGAUCAGUGGCAUAGAUAACGAAACAGGGCAAACUGACCAUGAUAUUGAAACAGCCGGAACACAUCACAGAAUAGAGGAACUGAGAACUGCAACCCCACAACAAGGGGUGGGAACUGAGCAGAUUACUACAGCCAAAGCCAGUGAUUCUCUGCGUCAGCCCCAACCCCAUGCUAAUCUUCAGGUGAGCGUGCCGCUCUCACCCAGUGCACAGCCCAGCUCAUACUGGCGCAAAGAGUUUAAAAUUUCUGGUCAGAUAGGUGAACCGGGCCAGAAAGAUAAACUGAUUUUUUUCCAGCCUUGCCCAUCAGAUCGAGAAUGGACUUAACUUCUUGGGGCUAUGUGGGACGCUAGCGUGCCACCCGUGGUGCACCCUAUCAACAGCAGGUGCAUUUCAAGAGCGGCAAAUUUGAAACCAAAUAAAUGUCAAAAUUCAAAUUUUUCAAACAUACAACUAUCUUACACACUUUGAAAGAUAAACAUCUCCUUAAUCUAACCACGUUGUCCGAUUUCAAAAAGGUUUUACGGCGAAAGCAUAAAGUUAGAUUAUGUUAGGAGAGUACAUUGACAAUAGCUGUGUGUAAUGUUUUGUCAAUUCAAAGACAGGCGUCACCAAAACCAUAAAACCAGCUAAAAUGAUGCACUAACCUUUAACAAUCUCCAUCAGAUGACACUCCUAGGACAUUAUGUUAGACAAUAAAUGCAUUUUUAGUUCUAUCAAGUUCAUAUUUAUAUCCAAAAACAGCGGUUUACUAUGGCGUUGAUGUUCAGGAAAUCGUUUCCCUCCAAUAACCGGCAGUCAAGUCAGCACCACAAAUUAAAUAAUUAAAAUUAGAAAACAUUGGUAAAAUAUUAUAUUGUCAUUUAAAGAAUUAUAGAUUUACAUCUCUUGAACGCAAUCAACUUGCCAGAUUUAAAAAUAACCUUACUGGGAAAUCACACUUUGCAAUAAUCUGAGCACUGCGCCCAGAAAAAUAUGCUUUGCUAUACAGACAAACGGCCAUGUUGGAGAGAUCUAAAAUCGAAAAUACUAUGUAAAUAAUCCAUUACCUUUGAUUCUCUUCAUCAGAUGUCACUUCCAGGAAUCCCAGGUCCAUAACGAAUGUAGUUUUGUUCAAAAAAGCUCAUCAUUUAUGUCCAAAAAGCUCUGUGUUGUUAGCACAUGAUCUAAGCCAGCCGGACUUCUCGUCAUGAACGAGGGGAAAAAAUAUAUUUACGUUCGUUCAAACAUGUCAAACGUUGUAUAGCAUAAAUCAUUAGUGCCUUUUUUAACCAGAACAUGAAUAAUAUUCAAGGUGGACGAAUGCAUUCUCUUUUAUAACGUAUUGGAACGAGGGUACCCAACAUGAACUCGCGCCAGAGUCUAAUCGGCCAUCACCGUUCCAUGGCUCUUGUUCGGUCAGAUCUCACAGUAAAAGACUCAAAACACUUUGUAAAGGCUGGUGACAUCUAGUGGAAGCAAUAGGAAGUGCCAAAACAUUAAUCAACCCCUGUGUGUUUCAAUGGCAUAGGCUUAAAGGUAAUUCAACACAUCAGGUAUCCACUUCCUGUCAGAAAAUGUCUCAGGGUUUUGCCUGCCAAAUGAGUUCUGUUAUACUCACAGACACCAUUCAAACAGUUUUAGAAACUUUAGGGUAUUUUCUAUCCAUAUAUAAUAAGUAUAUGCAUAUUCUAGUUACUGGGUAGGAUUAGUAACCAGAUGAAAUUGGGUACGUUUUUUUUAUCCAGCUGUGAAAAUACUGCCCCCUAGCCCCAACAGGUUAACUAUACAUUCAUGUACAUACUACCUCAAUUGGGCCGACCAACCAGUGCUCCCGCAUUGUGUCCCGCCACCCACCACCCGCCAACCCCUCUUUUACGCUACUGCUACUCUCUGUUCAUCAUAUAUGCCUAGUCACUUUAACCAUAUCUACAUGUACAGCCUGACUAACCGGUGUCUGUAUGUAGCCUCGCUGCUUUUUUCACUGUCUUUUUCCCUGUUGUUUUUAUUUCUUUACUUACCUAUUGUUCACCUAAUACGUGUUUUUGCACUAUUGGUUAGAGCCUGUAAGUAAGCAUUUCACUGUAAGGUUGUAUUCGGCGCAUGUGACAAAUAAGCUGAUUUGAUUUGAUGUCUGACAGAUUUUGAUAAUUGAAUAGAUCAUUUUGGCUCACACGAUGAAAGAAUGUUUAGAAGUUGUGAAGACUAUGACAAUUUCACUGAGAAUCAACUCAUCAGUUUUGAUCAGCAAGCCAUGUGCAUGUAGUUAUUGUGCAAAUUGUAGACAAUUUACUUACUCUUUUGCACACAUGCCAAAACAAGUGCAAUUUGCUUAAAUGAAUAAAAAAUGUAAAUCUGGUGUGAACAAAACUUAUUGUUCAGAGAUUUUAACUUAUUGUUUUGAAAAAAUAUAUUCUAAUUCUAAGAUUGAGCCAAAGCGAUUGAGAAAAACUGUAAUAAACGUUUAAGUCUAUAGCUUGGACGCAUUUGUGACUUCCAGGUUCAAAGUGUCCCCCCUCCCUGUUUUUCCACAUAAACAUGGUUGACUGAAAUUUCCAGCCCUCACUUUUUGAGGUAGCCUCUCGGGAGGACAUUUUGGAAAUAAGCCCUGAAUAUCCCUACUGAUUUAAUGUCCUUCUGGUCAUAAAGAGCCAGUUGAUGAUGAAGAAUGGCCUAGAAGACUGGUCUGGACUGGAGUAUCCUCUGUCCAGCGUAAACCUGUUUUCCUGUAAAAACAGGGUGAAGAUAACAAG
rnacentral:lncRNA from 1 species